rnacentral:rRNA from 1 species
AGAACGAACGCUGGCGGCAUGCCUAAUACAUGCAAGUCGAACGAACACUUCGGUGUUAGUGGCGCACGGGUGCGUAACGCGUGGGAAUCUGCCCUUGGGUUCGGAAUAACAGUUGGAAACGACUGCUAAUACCGGAUGAUAUCGAAAGAUCAAAGAUUUAUCGCCCAGGGAUGAGCCCGCGUAGGAUUAGCUAGUUGGUGAGGUAAAGGCUCACCAAGGCGACGAUCCUUAGCUGGUCUGAGAGGAUGAUCAGCCACACUGGGACUGAGACACGGCCCAGACCCCCUACGGGAGGCAGCAGUAGGGAAUAUGGACAAUGGGCGAAAGCCCGAUCCAGCAAUGCCGCGUGAGUGAUGAAGGCCUUAGGUGUAAAGCUCUUUACCCGAGAUGAUAAUGACAGUAUCGGAGAAUAAGCCCCGGACUAACUCCGUAGCCAGCAGCCGC